ACUUUGACAAGCGCUAUUUUAUUUCAAUUUACCGCGCUUUUAACUGUCAAGCGUACUUCCGAUAAUGUCGUUAAAAUUCUUUCUACUGCAUUUUUCUUUACUCUCUUCGUAAUAAAAUAUAUCUCAUUUGCUGUUAAUAUCGAAAAUGUACAGUAUUUACUGACGCAACUUCAACAUAUAUACAACAAUCUAAAAGAUGAAUAUGAGUAUGUUAUUAUAGAAAAGUAUAGCUACAAUGCAAAAUGGUACACAGU